rnacentral:rRNA from 1 species
AUCCACAGCCAUAGGACUCUGAAAGCACUGCAUCCUGUCUGAUCUGUGCAGUUAACCAAAGUGCUGCCCAGUUAGUACUAUGGUGGGGGACCAUGCAGGAAUCCUGGGUGCUGUGGUUU